rnacentral:rRNA from 1 species
GGUGAGUAACACGUAUCCAACCUGCCGAUAACUCCGGAAUAGCCUUUCGAAAGAAAGAUUAAUACCGGAUAGCAUACGAAUAUCGCAUGAUAUUUUUAUUAAAGAAUUUCGGUUAUCGAUGGGGAUGCGUUCCAUUAGUUUGUUGGCGGGGUAACGGCCCACCAAGACUACGAUGGAUAGGGGUUCUGAGAGGAAGGUCCCCCACAUUGGAACUGAGACACGGUCCAAACUCCUACGGGAGGCAGCAGUGAGGAAUAUUGGUCAAUGGGCGAGAGCCUGAACCAGCCAAGUAGCGUGAAGGAUGAAGGCUCUAUGGGUCGUAAACUUCUUUUAUAUGGGAAUAAAGUUUUCCACGUGUGGAAUUUUGUAUGUACCAUAUGAAUAAGGAUCGGCUAACUCCGUGCCAGCAGCCGCGGUAAUACGGAGGAUCCGAGCGUUAUCCGGAUUUAUUGGGUUUAAAGGGAGCGUAGGUGGAUUGUUAAGUCAGUUGUGAAAGUUUGCGGCUCAACCGUAAAAUUGCAGUUGAAACUGGCAGUCUUGAGUACAGUAGAGGUGGGCGGAAUUCGUGGUGUAGCGGUGAAAUGCUUAGAUAUCACGAAGA